rnacentral:rRNA from 1 species
GGUUGUCACGCCAGUGGCACUGCCGGGUAGCUAUGUUCGGAAGAGAUAACCGCUGAAAGCAUCUAAGCGGGAAACUUGCCUCAAGAUGAGAUCUCACUGGAGCCUCGAGCUCCCUGAAGGGCCGUCGGAGACUACGACGUUGAUAGGCUGGGUGUGUAAGCGUUGUGAGGCGUUGAGCUAACCAGUACUAAUUGCCCGUGAGGCUUGACCA